rnacentral:lncRNA from 1 species
CGUGGAAGCCGCUGUUGGGCUUUGUUGCUGUUGUCCAGAAGGCCGUGUGCUUUACUAAUGCUGUCAGUAAUGCCGUGAGUGUCUGCACUCUGCCCAGAAGAAAACAUCUGCUCGGAUGAAUCAGAGGAAAGCUUUGCUACAGGAUAGAUGUGGUGGUGUGAGCACUUAAUCCCAGCACUCAGGAUGGGUGUGGUGGUGUGAGCAUUUAAUCC